rnacentral:rRNA from 1 species
GAUGAACGCUGGCGGCGUGCCUAAUACAUGCAAGUCGAGCGAACGGACGAGAAGCUUGCUUUUCUGAUGUUAGCGGCGGACGGGUGAGUAACACGUGGAUAACCUACCUAUAAGACUGGGAUAACUUCGGGAAACCGGAGCUAAUACCGGAUAAUAUUUUGAACCGCAUGGUUCAAAAGUGAAAGACGGUCUUGCUGUCACUUAUAGAUGGAUCCGCGCUGCAUUAGCUAGUUGGUAAGGUAACGGCCUACCAAGGCAACGAUGCAUAGCCGACCUGAGAGGGUGAUCGGCCACACUGGAACUGAGACACGGUCCAGACUCCUACGGGAGGCAGCAGUAGGGAAUCUUCCACAAUGGGCGAAAGCCUGACGGAGCAACGCCGCGUGAGUGAUGAAGGUCUUCGGAUCGUAAAACUCUGUUAUUAGGGAAGAACAUAUGUGUAAGUAACUGUGCACAUCUUGACGGUACCUAAUCAGAAAGCCACGGCUAACUACGUG